UACGUAGGGACCAAGCGUUGUUCGGAUUUACUGGGCGUAAAGGGCGCGUAGGCGGCGUGUCAAGUCAAUUGUGAAAUCUCCGGGCUUAACUCGGAACGGUCAAGUGAUACUGUCGGACUAGAGUACAGAAGGGGCAACUGGAAUUCUCGGUGUAGCGGUGAAAUGCGUAGAUAUCGAGAGGAACACCUGCGGCGAAGGCGGGUUGCUGGGCUGAUACUGACGCUGAGGCGCGAAAGCCAGGGGAGCGAACGGG
rnacentral:rRNA from 1 species